UGGCUCAGAUUGAACGCUGGCGGCAGGCCUAACACAUGCAAGUCGAACGGUAACAGGAAACAGCUUGCUGUUUCGCUGACGAGUGGCGGACGGGUGAGUAAUGUCUGGGAAACUGCCUGAUGGAGGGGGAUAACUACUGGAAACGGUAGCUAAUACCGCAUAACGUCGCAAGACCAAAGAGGGGGACCCUCGGGCCUCUUGCCAUCGGAUGUGCCCAGAUGGGAUUAGCUUGUUGGUGGGGUAACGGCUCACCAAGGCGACGAUCCCCUAGCUGGUCUGAGAGGAUGACCAGCCACACUGGAACUGAGACACGGUCCAGACUCCUACGGGAGGCAGCAGUGGGGAAUAUUGCACAAUGGGCGCAAGCCUGAUGCAGCCAUGCCGCGUGUAUGAAGAAGGCCUUCGGGUUGUAAAGUACUUUCAGCGGGGAGGAAGGGAGUAAAGUUAAUACCUUUGCUCAUUGACGUUACCCGCAGAAGAAGCACCGGCUAACUCCGUG
rnacentral:rRNA from 1 species